GAAUCUGCCUCAUACACACACGCACUCUGAUGCACACACAAACACACACGCUCUUCGGUGUGCACUCAUCUCGCUCUCUCUCUCUCUCUCUCUCUCUCUCUCUCCCGCUGAGGGAAUCUCUCUCUCUCUCUUAGUCUGAGUGAACACUCCUACUAUCGCUCUCCAUCUCUCUCCCACAUGGACUCUCACUCUCAUGUAGCGCUGCUCCUUUCUCCCCUGUGGAUGCUCUCCGUCAGAGCUUAGGACAGGAUAGACUGGAACACCACAACCGAUCUCUUUCUUCUCAUACAGCAGAAGGUACAUCUCUGUCUUUUACUCCAUUUCUCAUUUAUCACUGUAUUUUUUGUAGAUUGUCUAUUCCCUACAAGGAUCUUUUAAUCAUUUAUGACACAAUUUAACUCCUAAAAGACUCUCACUUUCUUACUUUUUUAAACUUGUUUUUUUUCAAGCUUAUAAUCUGACACAAAAAAAGUAGCAGGGGGAGAGAAGCUCUCCUAGCCAGAUUUAUUGUAUUUCUAUUCCUGAGAAGUAACAAACUCAGCUUUAAAUGGAAGAAUAGCUUCGCUAGUAAAGUUCUCAUCCUCUUAAUACUGCCUUUGUUUUGCUGACAAAGCUGCUCCAGGUGCAAGAAAAGAAGAGUACAGACAGUUCAAGAGUAUUUUUAGGAGAAUUUUAUUGUUAUGGGAAUCCGCAGCAGGCGUGUCAUUAAAUAAACAGUCUUUUAUGGUAUUUUUAGGGUCUGAACAUUUUGUAACCCUUUUCGAAUUUUUCACAAAAUGUAUAAUGAGGCUUCUUUAUUUUGCUGUUUUUUUGGUUUCAUGUUUUCCUCUGUGAUUAACAUUUUAAAAAUCACAGUUUCACUAUGAUGGUCUUGGAUGUGUGUGGGCUGGUAUCCCCUUGAAGAGGGUGUCAGUUUUUCGUAACUCUGCUUGGUAUGUUGUCAAAAUAGCACUUGUCCAUUAUGUGAGGAGUCAGAUUACUUUGUGCAUGGGUUUUGUUAGUCUUGUGUUUUAUAUUUGUCUAAUAUAUUGUCUUAUAUCGGUCUGAAACUAAAUCUAUAUAUCUAUGUCUCUAAAUAUCUAUUUUAGAGGAUUAUUUCUCAAUUCACAUGUUCAUAUACUAAUUAUUUAAUUAUUAAACGUUUGCACUUGACGAUUUGAAGACUAUUUUACAAAUUUAAAAUGAUCCAUCGUGCACAAAAAGUAAUAAAAACAUCUAAAUCAUAGCAAUCAGAUACUUGAAGUUGCUGUAUAGACAUCUGUACCUUACAUAACUGUAACUUUGGUCUGAAUGAACAGAUUGCUGCUUGAUACCGUAAGAGUGUGUGUGUGUGUGUGAGGGAGCAUCCCUGAUCCCAUCACUCAUUAUAUAUGCAGUAGUAUCUCUAACAUUGAAUCUCUCAAAGGAUCUGCUCUCAUUAAUUUCUAGCAGCUGGUUUGAUACAAUGAGUACAGAUGAACCCUUACGAAACAUUAACGCCAUGCAGGACCGUUGGUGUUUUCACUUUGAGAGAACUACGAGAACCACAGAUGAACUUGCAGGAUUACACGGUGAUGUCUUCUCACACAGAUUACAGUUAACAGCGGAGGUCAUGAUGAUUGACCUCUUGUCUCGUAGUGAUUCUUAUUUAAUGGGUGAAUCCUAAAUGCUUAAACAAACAAGGGCUGUUCUCUCUCUCUCUGUCUCUGUUUCUCUGCUCCAUUUAAAUCCAAGCAGACAGCAGGCUGUACGCACACCAAAGUGUCAAGGCCUAAGCAAUGCAAUUUCAUAACUAAUGCAUAUUCAAAUUAAAGACAGAUGUCAUACUUAAAAUAAGAGAAUAAGUUUGAUGUCCUUUUUAUUUGAUGAUAAAAUCUACUAAAUAACCACAUAUCUGUUUUUAUGUAGAGUGUAGUGCAACCCGUGUGUCAUCUAUACAUAUGCAGCAGUCCAGUUUUCACUUCAGCGUUAAGAUUUCUCUAAAAGUUAAGUUGGAGAGUGUAAAUUAAUUAUCACAUCUUUCUGAAUAUGCAGAAACACAACAAACACUAGCAGUCUGACUCCAAACAGCAAGCAGCAGGUGUAAUAACACCUGCACAUGCUUGUGCUUGGAGCUGUUUUUGUUCUUGACCUUUGCGCUAUUGUACUCUUAAAACCAGACACAGCUCUGAGACACAGACUUUUUUUUAUAAUGAGAAGGUGAGUAAACUGCAGUCUAUUUUAAAAAAAUUUUGGCUUUGUGUGGGAAUUAUUUUAGCCAGUUGCAUAUUGAAGUACUUUGUAUUACAUUAUUUUUUAAAUCCCCAUGGAAACAUCCAAAUUUAUUCCUGUGCCUGUUCUUUGCUCAUGAGAAAUCCUGGGAGGCAGUUUUAAUUAAAUAUACAUAAUGAGUAGCUGAUCCCAAAGCUCUUAAGCUCUUACUGUUUUCUCAUAAAUUAUGCUGCCAUAUAUUAACUGUUGGAACAUUUUAGACUUUUUUUCAACUUUCAACAGAAAUGAAUGCACAGUAAGACAACCACACACAAACUCAAAUAAUGGCAGUAUAUGUUGUAGGAAAAAAAGAUAUCACUUUGCAUAUGUACAACUACCUUAAGGGGAUUUGUGGGAUUUAUAUAAUGUUUGCUUUUUGAUCUACACAGGCAUGGACAUUUGGUUUUGUACUGGCCUCAUAUUCCUUUAAAUCCAUACCUCAAGACUGCGAUCUCUAAAUGCAGAAAACCUAAACAAAAGCCUCAUUGAUUGAAUAAUAAAACAAGAAAAGAAAACUGCCAAUCUAUGAGUAUAUUUAAACCAUGUGCCAGCGACCUAUGACCCCCACUCAGACCAGUGGUGUCAGAUACCUUCAUGUCAUGUCCCUGCUCACCCGUCAUCAAAAUGUCUUCUCAAACUUAACUACGAACUGAGGCAAAGCUUCUCCUCUGUGAUCCGUUGGAAAGUUUUUUUAAUUUGUUUUUUUUAGGUUAAAUAACUCCACCACCCUUUUAAGCUAACUAAGCUUUAGCACUAGAUGUGUCAUAAUGGCUUUCUCUUGUAACAUCCACUGACAACAAAAGUGAAAAUGCUCUUCUUUUUACUCCCCUCCGUAUAAAGUGUUUCCUCUGCAACAAUUUACCCUGAAGUCACAUCUGUAAUUCGGGACACAGACUUGUUGGAUGAGGACUCAAGAGAAGGAGCACUUUGGGUCUGACUUAACCUCAGCCCUGAAACACAUUGGUGUAAAAAAAACAUCCUUGUAAAAUCCCAGAUGGCUGAACCACUGCUGCAAUCACAUAAGUCGACACCUUCUCCUGCCAGGAGAAAAGGAUAUAAACUGGGGGUUUCAUCUGAUGGGCGUCGUAAACAUAAACAAGUCGACACAAAGCGCUAUUUCAGGAUCAAGUCAGUGCCUCGAUGACAAUAGAUCUUUUUAUAGUCUGCUUUUGUUGGUAGUUAAAACUUACUUUUACAUUUCAGUUCACAGCCAUGUUGAGAGUUAUCUGACAUGUUUGUUACAUAGACUGUAUAAACUAUGGACAUCUUGGUUCCGCCUUCCGCCAGUAUAAGGAUUUGAAGCCGAAAAGCUCUCUGUAUUUCGUUUUUUCUCCACUUCCUGAAACCAAUAUUGCGCAGUAGCAUUGCACACAUUCCGCGGGAGAGUCGCCGAGAGCCGCCGUGACGACGCUUGGCUCAAAUAGCGUAUCCCCCGGCCGAGCUAUGCAAUCUUCGUACGGCCAUAGGCUGUAUCAAGUGUCAAUCAAAGAAAACAUGAACCCCCUAAUAACUUUUAAUAACGGAGCUUCACAGAAAAAAGAGGACUUGAGCACAAACCAGUCUUACAGUAACUACAUGUCAACAUCGCAAACAGGGGGGAGAAAAAAAUGUAUAUUCUGUGUAAUAAAUUUCUAAAGUUUGUCCACAGCUCCAUAAGCUUUGCUGGCAGAGGUGGGAUUUAUGACCUAUACUGCAGCCCGUCAACAGAGGGUGCUGUUUUCGGAGUGGCUUCACCCAGUGAGGAGGCAGACAGCGUCCAUUCUAUAUUAGAGUCUAUAGUUUGUUAUAAUUCAAAAUCAUCUUAACAGCAAAAUGAAUAGUAGAGUAGGUGAACCAGACCUUUGCAGGAAUACUGUUCUCAUUCAGCUUCUGUUCCUCUCAGGGCUUUGGAUUUUACAUACCUUUAAAACAAAAAUUAGACAAAUGCCAAUAUCUAACCCUAUCUGUUAUCAGCGCUGCUUACACUUUGAGUUCUUGUUGUUUUUUUAAGAGCAACCAAAGACAUUCAUUAACAAGCUCUGCUGCCAUCGCCUGGAUUGCAGGACAGGAUCUUGCCUCAUUUGUUCCUAUCAGUGAUGGUUGGGGCCCUCUCUGCCUCUACAAGUCAAUAAAAUCCGCUUUUAAUAUCACAUGAUGGCUCUGUCUGUUUCUGCACUUCUGUUCUGUGAAAUUUCGGAUCAAACCUCUUUUAUUUCAGCAGUCAGUGUGGAGGUCAUGCCGUUCAGAGACCACAGAUCAGUGCGUUUCCAUGCUUAAACACCCGCAAGUUAAAGGGUCAAACUCACUUGAACCUUUCUGCUGUCAGAGUCACAGCUGGAAUUAUUAAUGGCCACUGAGCUGUCUGUUUCCAUCAAACCGUUCGCUCUGUACUCAGCACGUCAAAGAACGAACAGGCCUUUGUGCUUCCUCUGUCAUCAACAUGACCGUGUAGUGAUGUGAGCCUGUGUGAAAAAUCACAGUUAAGUACUCACACCUGAGUUACCAUCUGAACCCGUCUGUGUGUCUGUAACACAGGUGUCACAUCCAGAAUAAAGGGCUGGAAGAAACACAAAAACUAAAUAAUGUAUAGGUUGUGUGUCUGUGCCUGUGUUAAUGGUAAGAAUGCGAAGAGGCCAGACAGUGUGAGUGCAUGUACGUGUGAGGAGGCCUGUUCCUUUCUGGAUUGACAUUUAAAGUUGUUAGAUAUCAAAGACAGCUCUGUAAAUAUUGAUGGUGUAUGUUUUCUUCUGUUGACUGAGUGUUAUGGAAGCCCUCCAGGGACAAAACACGUCCAGCUGACACAACCAAUGGGGUUCCUUAUGUGUGUGUUGGUGUACGUAUGUAUGCUUCUUUUCAGUAUAUGUGAACCGGUGAAUCUCAAAGGCAUGAAUCCCUCUGAGAGUUAACACCUCUGAGACGCCGACCCCUCUUCACUGUACUAUACGACUGUCCUGAGACCAGGCACAGCUGUGAGGUUAACCUCCUGAACAGAACGUUUUAUUGUUCAGCCAUGCUGUCCUAGUCAUCAUGAGGUUCACUUAGGGCUGAGUGAAUCACAUUUUUAGCCAUUUGUGACUAAAAUAGCAAAAAUUAAAGAGCAAGUGCCCUCAGCAAGGGGGAGAAAUCAGAGCUCGAUGAGCACUGCUGAUACAAAUCUGAUUAAUAAUCUUUAUCGAAUGUUUUUUCGUGUCAUUCUCUGCACAAAAUGGCUCGUUCCAAACUGAGUCACUGAAAUUAAAAUGACAGUAAAAAAUUGAUGCUGACCAUUAUUCAAAAAUACUGAUUUGUUUAUGCAUUUAUUAAGUUUGUCUUUUUUAGCUCUGCUACAUUGCUGUCAGUGUUCAAUUCAUGUGAAAAUGGUAGAAUUAACACCCACUAAAAUAGUAAAUAUACCACAGUAAUAAUACACUGCUGAGUACUUCAUGGGUCCAUGCACUAUCCAUCCAUUCAAUUAUUCCAUUCAAUCUAGUAAACGAAAAAUGAAAAAUGAGUCAAUAUUCUUUUUUUAGUUUUUCUGUAUAACCAAAAAAUCAAAAAUGUGUGUUUGUUUUCGUAUUUUCAGCUCAAACAGAACAUAUAGAGAAGGAAACAAAAACAAAAUAAUAAAUCUAAUUUACAAUUAUUGAUUUUGAGUGCGCUCAUUCGAGCAUACGUGCAUGGAGGCUACAUUGACCUUCCCCUGAUCCUUAGCAAUAGUUACCAUGGCGAUAGAUGCGACGGAGCGGUUCGAGCGCCAAAAUCUUACGUUGUAACAGAGCUCUGGUUUUCUACAGUCAUAUCUUCCUCCUUCAGUGUGACCCUCUUGGCGACUUUGAAUAAUACGUAGGAGGCGUCCAUCUCCAUGACAGCAGGUUAGCCUUUCUCUACCGCUCUGGCUGCGAGUUUCUGGUCACCUUGUUGGCUACUUUGUCGUGUGAUGCUCAUGUGCGAACAGUAGAAAGACACCGUGGGAAAUGGGGACAUCAAUAAGCCGAAAACGAAAAGUAGAUUUAGUAUUUUGUUUUCGUUUCCAUCUCUAUUAUAUACUCUGUUUUGAACUGAAAAUACAAAAACAAACACUAAUCUCUUAUGUUUUGGUUAUAUAGAAAAACAAAUAAACAAAAUAUUGACUAGUUUUUUUGUUUUUUGUUUACUUGAUUGAAUGGAAUAAUUGAACGGACAGAUAAUACACGGACCUUCAUGUCACUGUUUUUAACACUGGUGUAUUUUCUAUUUGUGUUUUUUUACUUGCUGCAGUCUAAACCUUGUCUUACCCCUUCCGGCAGCAUUUCCCAGCUGUGAGUGGGGCCUUCAUGGAUUCUCCGUACAAUGGCAACACGUCCCUGCAGACGUCCACCUCGAACCUCAACGCUGGCUACUCUCGACCCUCAGAAGCAGAGGAUGAUGGGAAAGUUUCCAGCGACACCAUUUGGCUGUGGAUCGCAGUGCUGGCAACCAUUGGAAACAUAGUGGUGGUGGCUGUGGUUUGUGCCUGCGCCUUCUGAUGAGAUGGAGAAGAGGAGCGAAGAUGCUGCUGCUGCUGCUGGAGGAUAAUGGAAGAUCAUGUACAUAACAAGAAUAUAUUUUUCUUCAGAGACUAUGGGAAAUAGCCUGACUUUAAGAUUUGUUACCAUGGACUUUGAAGCAUGAUCAGUAUGUUAAGUUUUAAAAGGAAAUUUAUGUGGUUUAAUUAUUGAAAAACUUAACUUUUUCUACCAGCAUAAGAAAUCAAAUUGGGGAAAUUUAGGGGGGAAAACUCAGUUUAUUUAUCUAUUUAUUUAUUGAAAGAUUUGAUCCUAUUGAAAAGAUGUCUUCAUACAAAUAGAAUAAUGUUUUACUUUUCUGUUCAAUCCUAUCAAGCAACAAAUCCACAACACUAUGUCCAAGCACAAAAUAGAGGCAUAAAAGGAACUAGAAUGGAAAACCUCAUACUGACCAAACAGGUCCACAAACGUACGAUACCAUACAUAUAUUUUCUUCUCUUCAAUUCAGCCAACAGCAAUCUCAAACCACAUCAUUUAUAUCAACAUAACUGUCAGGAAAAUCAUGGGCCCGCUAUUGUUUAUUGAUAGCUUCUGUGGCAUGAAAAGAACAUUUGAAAUAUAGUUCCUGCAACAAGCCACAUGCAAAACCGUAAAAAUGUCUAAUUCUUCAAAUACUUUUACUAUUUGAUGUUUUGGAUUUUAAAAGACAAGAAAAAACUACAUUCAGAUGACUGUUUUAAAGAGCUGCUGCAUGAACCAGGUGACUUUUAUUCCAGCCCCCACAUGUGAAUGCCACAUUAACAUUAUCUUAAUGAGCACUGACCUCGGGGGUGGGGGGUAAAAUUAUUCAUCCUGCAUCCAGGUAAAAAAAGAAAAUCAGAAAGCACUGGCCUUAAAAUAAUGGCCUAGCAUGCUUGCCAAUGGUCAGCUGGUUAUGCAAGGCAGGCUGGUGUUACGUAAACCCUUUCAGUCAUGGUUACACUAUUAUCUCAGUGGAGGUCGGCUUCAGAACUACAAGGAUUAGACAUGAUCAUAGCUAGAUCUCUUAGUGGGAUCAGGAGACAGAAAGUGAUCCAGCACUGUGAAGGAUUAACAGAGUGUACUCAUGUGGGAACAGAGGUCAAAGGUUCAACAUCAUCUUGUGACAUCCUGAUGAUGUUUGAUCAAAGUGCUGAAUUUUAACCUGCUCUGUCUGUACCCAUCUUUUCAACAAUAAAAUAAUUGCUUUAAUUCUAUUUAACAUUUUAAGCCAUUGUUACAAAUUGACAUCUAUCCCGUUCCUCUUACAUUAGAUGAUGGUUGUUAGCUUGCAAAGUGCAAACUGGGUCCUAAAUUGCUGAUGCAGAUUUAAAAAGGACUCAAAUGGAGUGAAAAUGCCCACAAAUGUGUCCCUGAUCUCAAACAGACUGGAACAAAAAGCCCCUUUUUAUUUCAGCUAAGAGCUAGCUUCAUGAGUUGGACUUAUCUAAAGCUAACAAUACCAAACUUGGUUGAUACAGUACGACUACAGCUAUAGCAAGAGGUAAGCACCUCUUUCCAGAAAAGGAUACAGCUGCAAGACAUGGAAGCCAAAGAGAAACAACACUAAUCUUUUGUAGUAUUGAUAAAGGUGGGGUAGGCAGGAUCUGAGGAAGUACCAGUUUUUGGGGAGAAAUCUUGAAUGUAAAUACUUCCCCUCCUCUCCCCUCCGUCUCUGCUCCAGCAAGCCCCGCCCACAAACAGACGCUCCUGCUCGCUCGUAUCGUUCUAAUUAAAUUCAGAUAUAAUGCAGAUAAAUACUUCAGAUAAUUACAAACGGGGCCCAGUCAACGUGAAAGUAAAAAGCAUUGGUGCUACUGUAGAUGCCAACAGACUACGAACAAACACAUUGUUUGCGGGACUUCUACAACCAGGAUAAAGUGACAUAGUCCAGGACCUGAGGUAAACAGUUUAGUGGCGUUACAACACGCAGCAGGUCCCGUUUGACAAGAAACACUUCUGUGACAGACUCUUGGCUUACUUGGUUAAAGCGGUUUACCUGUCCAGCAGAAAGGUUACAGGGUCUGUAAGAUCCCGAAGCAAACCCAUCCUUUAUGCUGAUGUUGACCCGGCUUCUUAACUCUUAUCCAGUCUGCCUCCUUUUUAGGCGCCAGAGUCUCCAGUAUUUAUUUCAUUUUCUUGCUUGUGUUGGCAGUCGUGGCUAAAGGAGGAUUCAGACAAUUUUCCAUACUUUCUGGUUGGUUUCUACUGUCCAAUAUUGUAGCACGCUAACUUUGUUUGGGCUCCUGAAUGACACGGGGGAGCAGCAUCUGCCUCACAACCAAUCAGGUUGGGGGAGGCGGAGAAUGGCUUUGUUUACAGUCAGAAAGAGCGUGGUGCUCAAAAAAUGUAAAAUGUUGACUACACAGACAUAACAAAACACAGCGAUAUUGUUAUAUUACCAAAUGUCAACAAUGACUAAUAGCUAUUGACUGAUAUUAAAAGCUAUUUUGUAUAAACACCACGAAAAAGAUGCUUCUUUAACAGAUUCCUGCCUACCCCACCUUUAAGAUGAAAUCCCCCCCUGUAGAGAAACAAGUUGAGAUCUGCUUUGUGAGGACAGAAAAUGGUCAGUCAGUGCUUUUAAUAAUUGAGUCCCCUUUAUAUUCCAACUUAUUUCUUCCCAGGUUUUCCAAACAUCAACACUAAAAGUUGAAUUAUAAACUCCCUUCAUCUGACAUGAAUGGUUUUACAUUUGAGGAAACUGUAUCACCCUAAAAAAGCCCAGAGGAAACAAACUCAUCCAUAACCGAGCAGGGCUCAGCUGUGACUGAGCGGUGAUUUGUGAAAAUUUGACAAGAAAGGAAGGUCAGGCAGGGGCUUCUCUUUCUGUCAGGGUUACUUUCCCCCGAUUAUAAAGAUAAACACAUCAUUAAAAAGGUUAGUUUCAUUCGCUUCCAGCUCGCUUCAGAUCACUGUAGGGUUGUUAGCGAGGAGACGAAACCUUGUAAAGCAAGGGUUGGUAUAGGAAUAGCACAGAGACAUGGAGACACAAAAUUAGAAAGAUGAGGGUCAGCCGGGCCAGAGAGGUCAAGAAGUAGAAGAAAGAAAAUAAAACUAGAACAAGGAUCAGAGUAAGCCCGUGCUUUUUCAGGUAGAAUAAGGUAAGGUUUCUUUAUGCCUCCAGCUGGUCAUCUAGUUGGGUCAAACCAGAGAGACACUUUUAUUUGUUCUAAUAUGAUCAGGAGAUAUUGUCUCAGAUUACUUGCAUUCAUCCAGUCUAGUCAGACCGGAUCCUGCAGCCAGGGUUUUCCUCUGCAUACGUAUGUGUUUAUAUGCAUGUGUUCGCAUUCGCACAUGAAUCUCACUUUCACCCAGCUGAGCUCCAGCCCGUAUGAGCCGCCCCUCGCCCUGUCAUUGCCAAGCGAAGUAAUGAGCUGUAAUGUGCCUCCCGAGCUUACUUCCCUUUUUUUUUUUCUUUUUUUUUUUUCCUUCUCGUGCUCGACAUCCCAGAGGGGAAUGUGCCCCGGGCGGCUUUUAGAGCAGUCAGAGACGAUCAUAUCUCUGUGGGUGACUUUAUUAGAAACCGAUUUUACAGACAGAAUUGAGCAAACUUCAGCUGCCAGAGACAAAGAUGUAGACUGGAUAGAGAAAAACUCAGCAGGGAUAAGAGAGACAAUUUGUAAUAUUGCGGGCAAAAGGAAGAUGUGCAAAGGAGGGGAGUAUGUUAAGGACGGAUAUGCUCAAUUUAAUCUCUGUCAAUAAUUGAUUGAGGAAAUGAAAGGGGAUAGGUACAAGGGAAGAAAGGAAAUUGAGAGGAAAGAGGCACCCUGUCAGAAUAAAUGAUCAAGAUUAAGUUUGGAGGAUGAAACUAUGUGAUAAAACAAAUUUGCAGGUUCUUAUCUGCCACAGUAAGAUUCCAAAAAACCAACAAACUCGCUGCAUGGCUCUAUUUGGAGUUUGAAACACAAAAUGGACAAAAUAGCCGCAGAGACUAAACACUUACUUGAAAAGCUGCAGUGUGUUUCUUACAUAAACAAUUUCAGAUUUCUCUGAUCAAAUUCAUUGAGGCAGUUAAGUGAUUCAGCUUGAGGGUGUCCUAAAAAAAAAAAAAAAAUCCCAUCAAGAGGAAAAAAAAGCAGGACAUAUUGGACUCUGAGUACAAACAAGUAGUCCUACAUUCUUAGAAAAAGUGCAACCAAAGUACUGCUCUAGGCUUUUUUUUGUUUGUUUGUGGUCUUUGUUUGGUCAGAUGAGGUUCAGUAGUCUGAUGUUUACCCUCAACCUAAGUUAACCUCAACCGUCCUCUCACUGUCCUGAAACAGCAGCCAGCUCUGUGGAAGUAUGGACCCACCUUAAAAUCACUGUGUUAGAAGAGGAUGACCCAAUACUUUGAGUUUACUCACUGGACUCUGCAAAAGAGAGGACAUGUCACAACAUGAGCUUCUGUCAUCUUUGAUAACUCAAUCUACAGCAUGCUCUGACCAGGCAGCUAGUCUCCCGGUAUGAUACUGCCUGAUAUAGGUCACAUGGGAGCAAAGGACUGCAUCACUACUAUGCUGUUGAGAUCACAUGCCUGAUACCGAUCCAGAAACACCAGCAACUUAUACACAGAAGCAUAAGGUGAGGAGUAGCAGUUUGAUUUUAGCUAUUAGUCAAGAAACUACACUGUCAGUGUCUGCACAAUAUCCUGCAAUCACUCAUGCCAAGAGCAAAAAUUUGCAUUUAUAAAACAAUGGACGACACAUGCUGUCGCUACCUGAUCCGUCCCGGAAACCUGAUUUGUACUGCGAAUGUGUGAAACAUACAUCACUUCCUCUCUUGGCAUUUCAAUGUGUUUUAUGGCAGUGAGUCGCUACCUACCUGAUCCGUACUGCGCUAGUGCAAAUUUACUUCACCUUAAAAAGUUUAUUUAAACUACUGAUCGAUUCAGAAACAAGCUAGUGAUGUGACAGGCUGGCUAGAAGGAUGCUCCAAAGCUAAUGCCGAGGCAUUCGCCAGAGCUCCUGCCCAGCACAGUGAGACCUCUUGGGCCACAGAGAGCGCCGCCUCCCGGUCAAAUUCAUGGUUCUCUGACUUUUCACAGUAUCAAAGGGGGGUUUAUUUCAAAUAUUUUAUCAAUUAAAUGUAUUAACCGGAGGCCUACACAUUAUGGACAAUGAAUUGCAGCUUUUUUUUACAGCGUAAAAUUUCAACAAUGAAAUGUUGCAAUUUUACAAUUUAGCUGGAGAAGGAACCUUUAAUUAUGAAACCGGGCGCCAUUCUCUUGACUUUCAUGCGCUCUGCUUCAGUCGGGGGAAGCACUCCAUUCAGGAGAAAGAAAAGCAUGUGGCUAUUGUAAACUGAAGCAUCCAUUCUGACUGAAGCGAGCUCGCUGAUGCUGAAGCUGUCGCAAACCGCGAGGGGCAAAGAAUCGCUGAGCUGUCACAAAGAUGGCUAGUAUGGCUAGUAGAGGGAGUGACAUACAUUUCGCACAUGCGCAGUACAAAUCGGGUUUCUGGGACGGAUCAGGUAGCGACACAUCUGUUCAAUUUUCAUCUUAUACAUCAACAACUACCCACCAUCUGUUAUUUACCAUGCCACCGGACUGUUUUUUCGCUGCCCCUUUAAGUUUGGGAAAAUGGGGUCACAGAAAACUUUGUGUGUGAGUAGGGUGCAGCUUUUUCAGGCCCUGAUUCAUGCAUAUGAAGUUGUCGCAAAGGAUUGUACAAAAGCAGUAUGUAUAAAUUGGUAAUAACUGAGGUAUUCUUUUAUAUUAGGUAUUAGAUAUUCUUUUAUAUACAGUCAAACAAUCUUCUUCUAACACCUUUUUAAGUCAACAUUGUGGUGUCAUAUCAAACAAAGAGCAAAUGAAGGUUUCCAGGCAUAAAUUCGAUAAGACAUCUUGCAGGACUUGAACCCAAGAUGGCAGUAUAACAAACAUAAUUGUACAAACUCAGCAGCGGUCUAACCCUGAAAGCAUCCCACAGCUUCAACCUGGAUCCCACUGUGAGGUUGAACCUGUUAUCUAAUACUGAAGUUAGUGUAUUAUUUAAAAACAUAACGUUUUCUGUGGCUUUCUUGUUAUGUCAUAUUGUUCCCUUUCCUUCAUCCCUUCCUCAUCAACUGCAAUCCUCCUUUCAUGCAUGUGAGGCACCAGACCGUGAAGUCCACAUUGUGAAACCCCCACUUUCUGCACAUGCACGCACAAACACACACACAGACACACUGUCUUCAACAGAGCUCUGACUCAAGCAAUCUGUCAUCUUCGCUUAUCUACCUUUUUUCAUCUUUUUUAUCCCCUGCUUUAUUGGGUGCUACUGUAAUGGUCUAAAGUCAAGUUUGGGUCAAAACACAAGAUGGGGUUGCUUGAGUUCAGACAUGGUUGCAGAAGAUAAGAAAAGCCUAGAAAAGAUUUUUAUUAUUCAUUUUCUCCCCUGUAAUAUGAAAUAAUGUCAAAGUUCCCUGACAGUUCUUACCUAACAAUAAAAACAGCUAAAAAAUUGCAUUUUUUUUGCACCAGAAAAAUGAAUGGUAAAAAUUUGAUCCUAUAACUCCUGUGCUUUUACAUUUUUUGAACUUUUAAUGCAAAUGAAAUGCUCCUGUAGUCUAACACUUUUAGGGCAUGUUGUCUACUUUGCAGUGACUCCCAUCUUUGCUUUUCAGAAGACAAAAAGGAGACAACAGUUUCCAGAAACUGACAAACUUUGCUCAUCUGCUACACAAAAAGAAGAAAGACUACAUUUUGGGACACUCUGCAGUCUCACCAAUUUUCAGGAAACAAUUGUGCAUAAAGAUACAAGUGGACACAUGACAGUGUUGCCUGCACAGGUGGAUCUAAACCAGGAGGAGUGACUCUGUGGGACAUUUUGAGUAUCUUUAAUGAAUGAGACAACAGUCAACCUUGCAUCAUGUGGCAGGACAUCACCACGCUGAAGAUUCCUUUUUUGCUCUGUACAUUAGGCUCCAGAGUAAUAUACUGCUUUCAAGUCAAACAUGUAAUCAAAGCCAUGAAAGAUUUGAAUAUUUAGAGUCAAAUCUGUUUUGAAAUUGAAUUUUUGGCACAUCUGCAAACGUGUCUCACUGUCUGAAGAAGAUUAUAAGCAGUCUGAUUCAACAUCUUUAUCUAAUUGAAAAUUUCUUGCAGGACCAGAAAGAGGAUUUUGUUUUAAUAAUGAGUCAUUUAAACAUGACAUGGUUCCAACAAGAAAACAUAACAGUAUGGCCGUGAAUUAGCUCUAAAUUAACUCCAAAUGUUGAGAUACUCAACAGAUAGGUCAAUAUUUUUACAGUUGGUGUAAGUUAGACUUGGUUUUGGCCAAAAUCUUCAAAAGAGUAAAAGAUGUCACAUUGUGUCUGUGUUUUAUUAUACAGAUGGUUUAAACAGAGCGCUUUGCGAGGACUAUACAGAGACAGCAUUGGUGUAAACAUUCUCAGCACUGUGGUUAGCAGGUGGAAAAUGUAUAAAGCAUGAACCAUCACUUGGCACGCAUAAAGUCGAACUAAUUUUUUCCUUUUUUGACUUUCUUCCUUAUAAUUCAUUCAAUUUUUACAUGUAAUAAUGAACAAAAGUUACAAAUAACGCUUUUUUGUAAUAUAUGAGAGAGGUUUUGAUGUCAGGUUUCAGUCCACAGUCCCAUGAUAUGUUUCUCCUCUAUCUCUCAGAGUUUUAUUGCAAGAUUUUCACCCAUUGUAAUUUUCCAG
rnacentral:lncRNA from 1 species